rnacentral:rRNA from 1 species
GCCUACGGGGGGCAGCAGUAGGGAAUUUUCGUCAAUGGGCGCAAGCCUGAACGAGCAAUGCCGCGUGAACGAGGAAGGUCUUCGGAUCGUAAAGUUCUGUUGAAGGGGAAAAAGAGCGGAGAGAGGAAAUGGUCUCCGAUUGAUAUUACCCUUCGAGGAAGUCACGGCUAACUACGUGCCAGCAGCCGCGGUAAUACGUAGGUGGCGAGCGUUACCCGGAAUGAUUGGGCGUAAAGGGUGCGUAGGCGGCCUGCUAAGUCUGGAGUGAAAGGUACCGGCUCAACCGGUACAGGCUCUGGAAACUG